GACGAACGCUGGCGGCGUGCUUAACACAUGCAAGUCGAACGGAAAGGCCCUGCUUUUGUGGGUUGUUCGAGUGGCGAACGGGGGAGAAACACGUGAGUAACCUGCCCUUGACUUUGGGAUAACUUCAGGAAACUGGGGCUAUUACCGGAUAGGAGCUCUUGCUGCAUGGGGGGGGUGGGAAAGUUUCGGCGGUUGGGGAUGGACUCGCGGCUUAUCAGCUUGUUGGUGGGGUAGUGGCUUACCAAGGCUUUGACGGGUAGCCGGCCUGAGAGGGUGACCGGCCACAUUGGGACUGAGAUACGGCCCAGACUCCUACGGGAGGCAGCAGUGGGGAAUAUUGCACAAUGGGCGGAAGCCUGAUGCAGCAACGCCGCGUGCGGGAUGACGGCCUUCGGGUUGUAAACCGCUUUCGCCUGUGACGAAGCGUGAGUGACGGUAAUGGGUAAAGAAGCACCGGCUAACUACGUG
rnacentral:rRNA from 1 species